CGUAAUAUUCGUAUUUACUGGGGCUGUUCGUAGAGAGCGAAACAGCUUUCUUUAUUUGCAGUUGACGAAGGCUUACCUUUGCAAAAAAACAAAUUUCUCAUUUUCGUCGUUGUUUAUAAUUUAUAUCAUCAUGGCGGAUAACGAACAGAAAGCGGCGCAGUUAAUUGCUGAGGCUGAAAAGAAAUUGAACUCGGGAAAAAGCUUUUUCGGGUCUCUUUUUGGAGGUGGAUCCUCCAAAGUUGAUGAAGCUAUAGAAUGCUACCAGCGAGCUGCAAACUUGUAUAAAAUGGCCAAAAAGUGGUCUCAAGCUGGCCAGGCCUUUUGUGAGGCAGCAGCUCUUCACCUUAAAGCUGCUGGACGUCAUGAUGCUGCAACCAACUAUAUUGAUGCUGGCAAUUGCUACAAGAAAUCUGAGCCAAAUGAGGCAGUUGCAUGUCUCCUUAAAGCUAUUGAAAUAUAUACUGAUAUGGGAAGAUUUUCGAUUGCUGCAAAACACCAUCAAACAAUUGCUGAGAUUUAUGAAUCAGAAUUGGCAGAUCUUGAUAGAGCUGUACAGCAUUAUGAACAAGCAGCUGAUUAUUUUAAAGGAGAGGAAAGCAAUAGUUCGGCCAACAAAUGCCUUUUAAAAGUGGCUCAGUAUGCUGCACAGUUGGAAAAUUACCAAAAGGCAAUUCAGAUAUAUGAACAAGUUGCAUCAGCCUCACUGGAUAAUUCACUUUUGAAGUACAGUGCUAAAGAGUACUUCUUUCGCGCUGCUCUUUGUCACUUGUGCAUUGAUUUGUUGAAUGCCCAGCAUGCUGUGCAACAGUAUGAGAACAUGUAUCCAGCUUUUCAGGAUUCGAGAGAAUGUAAGCUGGUGAAAGCCCUAAUUGGUCAUAUGGAAGAACACAACGUAGAUGGAUUUACUGAAACGGUCAAAGAUUACGACUCUAUUUCGAGACUGGACCAGUGGUUUACAACUAUCCUUUUGAGAAUCAAGAAACAGAUGGCCGAAACUCCCGAUCUAUGUUAAGAAGUGACAGCCAAGGGAAAAGAUGAUCACGAGCCUAUAGGUUAACCGUAGCUAUUUUGCUGGUUUAUGGCACACCUUUAAUUCGCUUCGUCGCAGAGUUGUACUCUUCUAUACGUUGCAUUCCAAAUCUUUCACUUGGCUCUCUGUCGUAUAUCGUUCAUUAUAAUUUUUUUCGAAUUCGUUCUUGUCCACUGUUCUCCUCCGUUAUAGUGUACAGUAUAUGUUCAACUUUGAACUUCACCUUGUUUUAUAAAUUUCCUAUUGCCAUGCGGUAUA